rnacentral:rRNA from 1 species
UACGUAGGGUGCAAGCGUUGUCCGGAAUUAUUGGGCGUAAAGAGCUCGUAGGCGGCUUGUCGCGUCGGCUGUGAAAACCUGGGGCUCAACCCCGGGCCUGCAGCCGAUACGGGCAAGCUAGAAUUCGGUAGGGGAGACUGGAAUUCCCGGUGUAGCGGUGAAAUGACGCAGAUAUCGGGAGGAACACCAAUGGCGAAGGCAGCUUGCUGGGACGGUACUGACGCUGAGGAGCGAAAGCCAGGGGAGCAAAGCGGGG